GGGGUGCAGCAGGCGCGAAACCUUUACACUGCGGGAAACCGCGAUAAGGGGACCCCGAGUGCCAGCACCUAGUGCUGGCUGUCCAGCUGUCUAAAUAACAGUUGUUAGCAAGGGCCGGGCAAGACCGGUGCCAGCCGCCGCGGUAACACCGGCGGCCCGAGUGGUAGCCGCUAUUAUUGGGUUUAAAGGGCCCGUAGCCGGCCUAUUAAGUCUCUUGGGAAAUCUGGCGGCUUAAUCGUCAGGCGGCCAAGAGAUACUGGUAGGCUUGGGACCGGGAGAGGUGGGAGGUACUCCAGGGGUAGGGGUGAAAUCUCGUAAUCCUUGGGGGACCACCGAUGGCGAAGGCAUCCCACCAGAACGGGUCCGACGGUGAGGGACGAAAGCUGGGGGCACGAACCGGAUUAGAUACCCGGGUAGUCCCAGCUGUAAACGAUGCUCGCUAGGUGUCAGGUGCGGUGCGACCGCAUCUGGUGCCGCAGUGAAAACUUGAAGCGAGUCACCUGGGAAGUACGGUCGCAAGGCUGAAACUUAAAGGAAUUGGCGGGGGAGCAC
rnacentral:rRNA from 1 species